rnacentral:rRNA from 1 species
GCAUAACGCGAAGAACCUUACCCACCUUUGACAUGUACGGAAUCCUUUAGAGAUAGAGGAGUGCUCGAAAGAGAGCCGUAACACAGGUGCUGCAUGGCUGUCGUCAGCUCGUGUCGUGAGAUGUUGGGUUAAGUCCCGCAACGAGCGCAACCCUUGCCAUUAGUUGCUACAUUUAGUUGAGCACUCUAAUGGGACUGCCGGUGACAAACCGGAGGAAGGUGGGGAUGACGUCAAAUCCUCAUGGCCCUUAUAGGUGGGGCUACACACGUCAUACAAUGGCUGGUACAAAGGGUUGCCAACCCGCGAGGGGGAGCUAAUCCCAUAAAGCCAGUCGUAGUCCGGAUCGCAGUCUGCAACUCGACUGCGUGAAGUCGGAAUCGCUAGUAAUCGUGGAUCAGAAUGUCACGGUGAAUACGUUCCCGGGUCUUGUACACACCG